rnacentral:rRNA from 1 species
GAUCAGUGGCUCGAGGACGAACGCUGGCGGCGUGCUUAACACAUGCAAGUCGAACGGAAAGGCCCUGCUUUUGUGGGGUGCUCGAGUGGCGAACGGGUGAGUAACACGUGAGUAACCUGCCCUUGACUUUGGGAUAACUUCAGGAAACUGGGGCUAAUACCGGAUAGGAGCUCCUGCUGCAUGGUGGGGUUGGAAAGUUUCGGCGGUUGGGGAUGGACUCGCGGCUUAUCAGCUUGUUGGUGGGGUAGUGGCUUACCAAGGCUUUGACGGUAGCCGGCCUGAGAGGGUGACCGGCCACAUUGGGACUGAGAUACGGCCCAGACUCCUACGGGAGGCAGCAGUGGGGAAUAUUGCACAAUGGGCGGAAGCCUGAUGCAGCAACGCCGCGUGCGGGAUGACGGCCUUCGGGUUGUAAACCGCUUUCGCCUGUGACGAAGCGUGAGUGACGGUAAUGGGUAGAGAAGCACCGGCUGACUACGUG